AAUCUUCACAAAUAUUAUAUAGAAAUCAAUUGUAAAAUGCAAACAACAAUACCAACAAAAUUUGAGGAGGCACUCAAAGUCAAAAGCACAGGAUCUGUGAGAUUUGGCUAGAUUAUUGGAAUCACAUUGAAUUCUUGUUACCUCCAUUGCAAAGCAGACACAAAAUGAUUCCAGAAAAAUCAAACUAGCCAGAUCUUACCUAGAAACAAUUUUUUUAGCAUGAAGAAAGAGAUAGGGGGAUACAAAUAAGCUUCAACCUAGUUCCAAUUUCCAGGUUCAUCUUGUUAUCAAGUUUAAAAUCAAAUAUAUGAAAUCAGCUCAUUAGCUUGUCAG
rnacentral:misc_RNA from 1 species